AUUAUAAAUUAUACCUGCAUCAUGUUGGGUUUGUUUGUGCAUUUAUUUUGAAUUUUAAAACUAAGAACUGAUUUGAAUUUGGAAUUGAAAUAAAAAAACAGAAUAAAAAGCAAAAGAAAUAGAUUGCUUACCUGAGAAAUGGGCCGAAUUUCCCCUCCCUUAGCCCAGUCCGGUGCCCUCUCAGACUACCACGCGCUUGCUGGCGAGUCUCUGACAUCGUGGGCCAACCCGUCAGCGUUGUCUUCCCCGAGUAGGACUCCAACAGACCACGUGAUUCCAGGCAACAAAAACAUACCCGAUGCCGCUGCUAUCCCAUAAUAUUCGGGGGGUGCACCGGCCAAACCCACAACGGAAUCCUAGGAGUCUGCCGCUCCCAUGACCCUGCCCAGGUACAUAUAAGAUGGCCCCUGCGCCCUCCCAUAAGCCAUCGGCGAGUAGAAGCACCAGUGAGCGUCGAUUGCUCGGAUUUAGGUGGGGGAUCAGGGGUGUUCAUCGGAGUACAUUGUACUUGGGGCUAGUUUUUUUCAAGCGUCUGGAACAAGCAGUGAAGGCCCGAUGUUUGGUUUGGGAAGGCCCCCUUCCGUGACAAUGGAAUUAGUGCAUGCUACUAGCGUUCGUCUGGAGUCCCAUAUACAAUGGUGGGUUCUGGAAACUGAGGUAAAUCUUUGACUGACCUAGUUUCUAAUUCCAAAUUUUGUGCUCCCACCGCUUCUUGAUCCGUCGGGUGCCAAGGGCCUCUGUUGCGGCAAGUCGGCUGCAGUCCGGGAGCCGGCGGUAGCAGAGGUGAACAACAAAGCUGGGCGUUGGCCUGCCAGCGUCGCCGGUGAGGGUGUCUCAGACGCCCAAGCAGCCCAUGUUGCCCUUCUACUUACCGAGCCGCCCUCACCCUCCAGCUACAAGAGCUCGCCGCCGUACAAACUAAAGGCCGCCGCCGCUCUGUAAUUUAUGGGGAAGAAACGACUCCGUCCAUUGAUCUGGGAGGGACGAUGGGGAUUAGAUCCUAACGUUUUAAAAUCAUGAGCGUCCGAUUCUAAUCGAACGGUUGGGGGAAGUAGCUGAUACCCCUUCGCGGCUCAUGAUCUGGGUCAUCGGAUCUUGAUCCGGUGGUCUAUAUUUCAUACCAGUUCAUAAAGGUUAAAAUCUAAUCGCGACCAUUGGCUUUUGAUCGGACGACCGAGGAUCGCGGAUACCCCUUCAGCCGAGCCAGAUUUACAAAUGAGCCCCCGCAGAAUCUCAUAAUUAACCCUUCAUCCUCGCGGGAGUAGUCUGAGUCUGGUAGAGUUUUAUAAAUUUAACCCUAGGCUCUCUGAUAUUAGUGUCCUCGGUCCAGAACACUUAGGAUAUUCAGAAAUUAAUAAAGAAAUAGGUUUUUAGUAUAAAAAUAAAUCCAUAAACUUGUUUAAUUCAUAUUUAAUUCAUUCUAACUCCGAAUUAACCUAUUCCAGUUUCUAUAAUUUUGUAAUAUAAUUGUUUAUCAUUUUGUGUCACUGUUUUGACAUGAAAGCCAUAUUAAAAUUGAUAUCCUAAUUAAUCUUGUACAAAGCACAUAGAAUCUUUAGAAAUCCAUAACUUAAAAUCUAUAACUCCAAAAUUAAUAAUUCAUGUUCAUGUUAUCUUAUUUCAAUAUGUAGAUUAUUAAUAUGUAUUUUGCAUAUAUGUUUGGUGUAAUGUUAAUUUUUCCUAUACAUUGUUUGUCUAUAUUGCUACGUUUAGCAGUGAGGACACGUGUCAUCUGAAAAGCAAGUUGGUACCUGAAAUCUCAAGUCCCAGGCAAGUUGUGCCCUUGACCACUUCUUUUUACCCACUCAUGUUCUAAUUAAUCAUAAUGAUCUGCAUAGGUUAAUUUUGAUGGGACCCAAUAGGUUACCCCAGUUUGACUAUCUUUAUGCCUUGUUUACCACUGAACUUUUGGGUAGUACUUGCUAGUGCUUUAUGUGGAUUUGGGCAUUGAGAUAUUCAUGAUUAUACUUUUAUUAUCAGUUGUUAUUUACUAUUCAUGAUAAGAUCAUUAUGUUAAUUGGAACAUGGAGAACCACCCGGGAAAACAGUGCUACCACAAGGGUUUAAUGGGACGCCCUUGGCUGAUUAAUUAGGAAAGCUAGUGGAUGACUACCUUACCCGAAAGGGGCAAGGGCAGUAGGGGAGUGGUCAGUGUAGGGAGGCCCUUGGGAUGAUUUUGCUGCGAUGGCGGUCAUGCGAGGGAUUCCUGCAUUGGAGCUUCCUAUAAACUGUAGCGGGUUUUCUGAAGCUAGUGGAACUUUGUAAAGGCCUCGUAGUGUUACCCUGCCUCGCCUCCUCGGUAGAGGUGUAUGGGAUUGGCCGUCUCUUGGCAGAUGGGUAACAUGACUUGUGGGUAAAGAUGCGCAACCUCUGCAGAGUGUAAAACUGGUAUACUAGCCGUGCUCACGGUCAAGAGCAGCUCGGACACUCACAUGAUUAAUCUAUGGAACUAAAUUCAAUUUGUCAUAUGCAUUGCAUCGCAGGUGAUGUUGUUAUUUUUGUUCUACUACUUAAUUGGGUUUGAUAUUUACUUAUACUUAGUAAUUGCUAAUAAAAUUUUGACCAACUUUAAAAGCAAUGCUCAGCUCUAACCAUCCUCUUUGGUAAGCCUUACACUUCACGUGAGCUCCCACCUUUGGCGAGUUCAUGCACAUUAUUCCCCACAACUUGUUGAGCGAUGAACGUAUGUGAGCUCACUCUUGCUGUCUCACACCCCCCCACAGGUCAAGAACAGGUACCGCAGGAUGAGGCGCAUGAAGGAUGCGGCUAUGUGUUCGUGAGAGGUCUAGGUCGCCGUCUCCCAGUCAACUUUGGGUUGCUGGACCGUUGUCUCCUUAUAAUGUAAUUAUUUAUUUUGUGCAAAAUUCCUGUUAUGUAGUAAAGAUGUGACAUUCGAUCCUGUGCCAUGAUUCAUCAUAUGUGUGAGACUUGGUCCCAGCACACCUGGUGAUUAUGUUCGCGCCCGGGUCUUGGUGCCCCGAAACCCGGGUGUGACAGAAGUGGUAUCAGAGGAAUGUUGACUGUAGGACGAAACCUAGAUAGAACUGGACAACCCUUACCUACUUACCUAUGCUACUCUGAUUCUUUUCUAAACUUAUCUUAAUAUUUUCUCAUCUAUUUCUGACUUACUCUGAUAAUUCCUACCUUUUCACUCUAAAGACCAAUGUGGAUUUCACAUUUUGAAAUCUUGUGCCUAAAGUGACCUUUAGGAAUAGGAGACCUACUCUUAGGAACAAAAUCAAAACUACUUUUAUUGUGAUUAUUCUGUAUGCUUAAAUGUUUGUUCUUGUGAUACAUGUCUAAUUUGGAUCUUUGAUUGAGUGCGAUGAGUUGUGGAGUAAUGUCCACAAUUAACAUGUGCAUAUACAUAUAGGCAUAAAUAUAAAUAAAUGAAAUUCAUAAGAUAACUAAACAACCUAGAUUAUCCAUUGGAAUAUAUCUAGCUUAAUAGAUCCAUCUUAUCUUAAAAGACUCUCUCUUAUUCCAAUAGAUUCAUCUUAUCAUGAAAGAUUUGUUUUAUCUUAACCACUAUAUUUAUCUCAUCCUAAAGUAACAACCAUGACCUAAUCCAAAAUAAUGAGAUCUUAACUAGUUUAAUCAAGUUGUACCAACCUAAUCUAGAUUCUAUCUAAUCUAUUAUGAUCUAAUCUAGAGUAAGUUACUUAAUAUUGGUACAAAGGAUAAAGCCAUACUCCAAAUCCACUUAAGCUUAAACUGGUGACCUAGAUCAACUCGGCCAUACCCAACAACUUGACCUACAUAACAGAUCUAUCUUAGCCUCUUGUCCCAAACCCGGAUGGAGACACCAGAGAGCAAGACUGGAAAAGGACAAGAUCAACCUUGUCAAGGAAGGAGAGAAGUCAAACUCGAUCUUCAGAUGCAUUACCACCCAACAAGGAGUCCUUUCUCACCGUAAACUUUCUUACUUAGGCUAUUCUUGCCCUAACCUAUCCAUCUCUUAUAUCAUGCAUAAUAAGUAGCUGGAUACCUAUGCUCUCUCAAUCACUCACCCACCAUUGACUACAUAAAAAAAACAAGACCCUGGAUUUUUAAACCAAUUAUAGACUAAAAGCCGAAUUACAGAAAUGCUUCUGUAUCCCUUUCUUGCAAAUCUCGAGGACGAGAUUUCUGUUAAGGGGGGUAGGAUUUGUAACGACCAAAAUCCUAUUCUAAGAUUUACAAAUAUUUUUUAUAAGGUUUAGGGUUAAAAGGUAUUUUAAUAUAAGAAUCCUCAUUUUUAAAUGUUAUUCUAAAAAAACUAAAAGCUUGGAACCAUAAACACAAGAAUGUUAUUUAUUUAUUAUUCUCUUUAUGAACUACAUAUACAAAUGCACUCCUUCAAAAAAUAAUAACUUAUGGGAAAAAUAUUGUGUGGGUUGCAUAAUUGGAUCAUUUUUUUAUUUUUUUAUUUGCAUGAAUAAAUGAAUAAAUUAAUUAUUAUAAAUUAUACCUGCAUCAUGUUGGGUUUGUUUGUGCAUUUAUUUUGAAUUUUAAAACUAAGAACUGAUUUGAAUUUGGAAUUGAAAUAAAAAAAACAGAAUAAAAAGCAAAAGAAAUAGAUUGCUUACCUGAGAAAUGGGCCGAAUUUCCCCUCCCUUAGCCCAGUCUGGUGCCCUCUCAGACUACCACGCGCUUGCUGGCGAGUCUCUGACAUCGUGGGCCAACCCGUCAGCGUUGUCUUCCCCGAGUAGGACUCCAACAGACCGCGUGAUUCCAGGCAACAAAAACAUACCCGACGCCGCUGCUAUCCCAUAAUAUUCGGGGGGGUGCACCGGCCAAACCCACAACGGAAUCCUAGGAGUCUGCCGCUCCCAUGACCCUGCCCAGGUACAUAUAAGAUGGCCCCUGCGCCCUCCCAUAAGCCAUCGGCGAGUAGAAGCACCAGUGAGCGUCGAUUGCUCGGAUUUAGGUGGGGGAUCAGGGGUGUUCAUCGGAGUACAUUGUACUUGGGGCUAGUUUUUUUCAAGCGUCUGGAACAAGCAGUGAAGGCCCGAUGUUUGGUUUGGGAAGGCCCCCUUCCGUGACAAUGGAAUUAGUGCAUGCUACUAGCGUUCGUCUGGAGUCCCUUAUACAAUGGUGGGUUCUGGAAACUGAGGUAAAUCUUUGACUGGCCUAGUUUCUGAUUCCAAAUUUUGUGCUCCCACCGCUUCUUGAUCCGUCGGGUGCCAAGGGCCUCUGUUGCGGCAAGUCGGCUGCAGUCCGGGAGCCGGCGGUAGCAGAGGUGAACAACAAAGCUGGGCGUUGGCCUGCCAGCGUCGCCGGUGAGGGUGUCUCAGACGCCCAAGCAGCCCAUGUUGCCCUUCUACUUACCGAGCCGCCCUCACCCUCCAGCUACAAGGGCUCGCCGCCGUACAAACUAAAGGCCGCCGCCGCUCUGUAAUUUAUGGGGAAGAAACGACUCCGUCCAUUGAUCUGGGAGGGACGAUGGGGAUUAGAUCCUAACGUUUUAAAAUCAUGAGCGUCCGAUUCUAAUCGAACGGUUGGGGGAAGUAGCUGAUACCCCUUCGCGGCUCAUGAUCUGGGUCAUCGGAUCUUGAUCCGGUGGUCUAUAUUUCAUACCGGUUCAUAAAGGUUAAAAUCUAAUCGCGACCAUUGGCUUUUGAUCGGGCGACCGAGGAUCGCGGAUACCCCUUCAGCCGAGCCAGAUUUACAAAUGAGCCCCCGCAGAAUCUCAUAAUUAACCCUCCAUCCUCGCGGGAGUAGUCUGAGUCUGGUAGAGUUUUAUAAAUUUAACCCUAGGCUCUCUGAUAUUAGUGUCCUCGGUCCAGAACACUUAGGAUAUUCAGAAAUUAAUAAAGAAAUAGGUUUUUAGUAUAAAAAUAAAUCCAUAAACUUGUUUAAUUCAUAUUUAAUUCAUUCUAACUCCGAAUUAACCCAUUCCAGUUUCUAUAAUUUUGUAAUAUAAUUGUUUAUCAUUUUGUGUCACUGUUUUGACAUGAAAGCCAUAUUAAAAUUGAUAUCCUAAUUAAUCUUGUACAAAGCACAUAGAAUCUUUAGAAAUCCAUAACUUAAAAUCUAUAACUCCAAAAUUAAUAAUUCAUGUUCCUGUUAUCUUAUUUCAAUAUGUAGAUUAUUAAUAUGUAUUUUGCAUAUAUGUUUGGUGUAAUGUUAAUUUUGCCUAUACACUAUUUGUCUAUAUUGCUACGUUUAGCAGUGAGGACACGUGUCAUCUGAAAAGCAAGUUGGUACCUGGAAUCUCAAGUCCCAGGCAAGUUGUGCCCUUGACCACUUCUUUUUACCCACUCAUGUUCUAAUUAAUCAUAAUGAUCUGCAUAGGUUAAUUUUGAUGGGACCCAAUAGGUUACCCCAGUUUGACUAUCUUUAUGCCUUGUUUACCACUGAACUUUUGGGUAGUACUUGCUAGUGCUUUAUGUGGAUUUGGGCAUUGAGAUAUUCAUGAUUAUACUUUUAUUAUCAGUUGUUAUUUACUAUUCAUGAUAAGAUCAUUAUGUUAAUUGGAACAUGGAGAACCACCCGGGAAAACAGUGCUACCACAAGGGUUUAAUGGGACGCCCUUGGCUGAUUAAUUAGGAAAGCUAGUGGAUGACUACCUUACCCGAAAGGGGCAAGGGCAGUAGAGGAGUGGUCAGUGUAGGGAGGCCCUUGGGAUGAUUUUGCUGUGAUGGCGGUCAUGCGAGGGAUUCUUGCAUUGGAGCUUCCUAUAAACUGUAGUGGGUUUUCUGAAGCUAGUGGAACUUUGUAAAGGCCUCGUAGUGUUACCCUGCCUCGCCUCCUCGGUAGAGGUGUAUGGGAUUGUCCGUCUCUUGGCAGAUGGGUAACAUGACUUGUGGGUAAAGAUGUGCAACCUCUACAGAGUGUAAAACUGGUAUACUAGCCGUGCUCACGGUCAAGAGCAGCUCGGACACUCACAUGAUUAAUCUAUGGAACUAAAUUCAAUUUGUCAUAUGCAUUGCAUCGCAGGUGAUGUUGUUAUUUUUGUUCUACUACUUAAUUGGGUUUGAUAUUUACUUAUACUUAGUAAUUGCUAAUAAAAUUUUGACCAACUUUAAAAGCAAUGCUCAGCUCUAACCAUCCUCUUUGGUAAGCCUUACACUUCACGUGAGCUCCCACCUUUGGCGAGUUCAUGCACAUUAUUCCCCACAACUUGUUGAGCGAUGAAUGUAUGUGAGCUCACUCUUGCUGUCUCACACCCCCCCCACAGGUCAAGAACAGGUACCGCAGGAUGAGGCGCUUGAAGGAUGUGGCUAUGUGUUCGUGAGAGGUCUAGGUCGCCGUCUCCCAGUCAACUUUGGGUUGCUGGACCGUUGUCUCCUUAUAAUGUAAUUAUUUAUUUUGUGCAAAGUUCCUGUUAUGUAGUAAAGAUGUGACAUUCGAUCCUGUGCCAUGAUUCAUCAUAUGUGUGAGACUUGGUCCCAGCACACCUAGUGAUUAUGUUCGCCCCCGGGUCUUGGUGCCCCGAAACCCGGGUGUGAUAGUAUGUUGUCCUAGGAAGCCUCAAAAGGGUAUGUUGUCCUAGGAAGCAUCAAUAGGGUAUGUUAUCUUAGGGUAUUUACAUUUUUAGGACUCGAGAAGACAGUCCUAGGGUAUGUUGUCCUAGGAAGCCUCAAAAGGGUAAGACUUACAAAGAUGGUAGUUUAGGCUAUUGCUAUGGAGUUAUUCUUAAAAAUGUAAAUAGCUAGGCUAGUUUAAAUAUGCUUCAUGCAAAUAAGCGUGCAAGCCUCAUCCUGAGCAGCUUCAACUAUGUUCUUAGGAUGGCAAGCUAGUACAGGCCUUACUAAGAGGCCUUCACAACUAGCAUGCAAGAUGAUGAAUACCUAACACACAUGCUAUUAAGGGUAUAAUGAGUGUAUUGUUGUAUUCCCCUCUAUAAGGAAAAUGGACCGCGACCCAUUUGCUUAAGUGAUUUUGGUGUUUGAUGAGUGAUGACCAACAUGACUUGUGGACUAAUGUGUUUGUUAGUGUUUAUGUUUAUAGUUCAUAGGAUGAAACAUGGACUUAAGGAAUUGAGGGAGCAACACCUCAAGGAAGACAUUAGCAGACUCAUUGAAGACUUACCAACAUCAAGCAAAGUCCAAGACACAAGACAAGAAAAGCCCAAGUGAAAACAACUUGAAGAAUAGAAGAUUGGGUUGUUUAUGAGUGCACCAGACCGUCUAGAGGUUCACCAGAAUGAGACACUAAACCAAACACUCAUAGAGCAUGUAAACAACACCCAAGCCUUCUCACACACUGUUGGUACACCGGACCUUAUAGGCUCAAUGAUUGGCAAUAGCUAGUUGCAACGGACAACUGACAUGGCAGGCACUAGACUGUCUGAUGUGCGCUAUUGGCACAUUAGACCUCUAGUGUACAGAUGAAAAGUUGUCAUAUUUCCAAUGGUUAGCUAAAGUGGAAGGGCACCAGACGGGUUUGUUGUGACUCAUAAAAGUUUGCUUCCUUCCAAUGACUCUUUUGGGCUUGGGACUCAAUAUAAAUCCACUCAACCGAGCAUUCCAAGAUCCAAAGAGCUCAAGACUUUAGUGUAUGUGUUGAGACCUACAUUUCUAAUAGCUCCAAACACCCAAGUGCUUAAAGAAUCACUCGGUGGUUAGCGUAGGUGCUUUGAAAAGUGCUUAGGAUAUUUAUACAGUUUCAUUGUGCUUGCUCUAGGUUAUGCUUAGUUGAUUAGAGUGAGGUUAGACACCCUCAAGACACUUGGCUCUUGCGUGAGUCAUUGUAAUUGUAUCGAGUGGGGUGAGAGUCUUGUGAGAUCACACCAACUGCGUUUGUGGUCUGGCCGCCACCGUGUACCAGAGGGAACGAGUCCCAUGGCGUUUCGGCUAGAAGCUCGAUAGUGAAGACAACGGGGAGCAUCCAAGAGAGGUCUGAAGUGGAGCACCACUUGUACGUGGAGAAGGCCUGGGCUAUCUAUGAGUUACAUGUCUGAGAUGCUUGGCACCAACAAGGAUUAGUAAGAACCAUGCACGGUUCUUAAUACCUUUGUAAAAAUAUCAACGCGUCAAUGGGAGUUUGCAUCUCUACCUUACUUAACCUUCCAUAUUUAUAUUCCUUCCUUAAGUUGUGUGCUUUACCAUUCUUAUCUUAGUUACAUGCUAGUUGGUAGGACAAAAAGGUAGGUUGGAUAACUAAGAGCACCUAGAGGGGGUAAAUAGGUGAUCCUGCAAAAAUCAACUCUAAACAAGACAUAAUUGGUUUAUGAUAGGUGUUAGUUAAAACAAAAAUCAAGUUAUUAUGAGUAGAGGUGGAGAGGAGAAGAGAACUCUUCACUUGAUUGUUCCUUGGAUAUUUGUAUUAAACUUAGGAAGAACAAUACAAGUGAAAAUAUGAGAACUCUGGGAAAACAACAAUCGCAAUAAAAGAAAUGCAUCAAUGCCUACUCCACGUUGUGGUGACCUCCUUCGGUCAAGGGUUGCAUUCAACCCCUCUUAAGUGAUCCAGAGAUCAAACUUGAGUACCACGUUGUUCUUCCUUAUAUCAAGUUUUCCUUUUGUGAGGAAUCUCCACAAGUUGGAGUCUCUCACGCCUUAUACAAAUGAUCUCGAUCAAAGCACAAGAGUAAGGGGGAGUAGCAACACACAAAAGAACUCAAAUCGCAGCAACACCCGCACACGAGUCAAGAAGAGAGCACAAAAAAUACCACAGUGGAGUUACAGCUCACGACGUGCUCAAAUAUCUUUUUAGCAAAGCAGUAGCGUGGUCGCGAGGUCUCAGUGUUGUAGGAUAUUCAAAAAUGCUUGUGUCACAACUCCAUGCGCCUAGGGGGUCCUUUUAUAACCCAAAGGGACCUAGGAGCCGCUGGAGCUCCAUUUAGAAGGCCCUAGUUGCCUUCUGUCCGUGGGUGCACCGCACUGUCCGGUGCACACCAGACACUGCACAGUGCAAUGACUACGAAUCUCCUGAUUGGCUGAUUUCCUCUUCUGGGGGCACCGAACUGUCCGAUGGGUGGCAUCGGACUGUCCGGUACACCAGUCAACCGUUCGCUUCGACCGACGCGUCAAUUAGCCAUUUGAUGGUUGGCACACUGGACUGUCCGGUGCUCCGCGCGGACUGUCCAGUGAUUUAUUGUAACGCCCUAAAAAUUAAACCAUAUUUAUAAUCCAAAUAUGGUGUGUCCUAUGGAUGAUCGGAGGCCGUAGAUGUAUAGAUCUCAUCAAGAUGAUUCCGAUCAAUCACUAGCUUGCCUUGUUUGGAGUCAAGAUGAGUUUUAGGCCCUGCAAUUAGCCUUUCUUGGUUGGAUUAGAUAGGGGAUUAGAUUUUGAUCUCGAAAUUAGUCCCUGCAGUGUGGCAGAUUCGACAGUUUCUAUUCAGGCAAGUUUUUUCGUAAUCUUAGGGGCCUCAAAAAAAUAAAAAGUCUAUCUAUGAGUCGUAGAUAAUUUGUAGAUCUUUCAUUGGCCGCAAAGAACACCUCAAUCAGACAUCAGAUCAGAGAGUUAUUGCAGUUUGAUUAUAGCGGUUUUUCAGUGUCAUAAUUUUGUGCAGAAUCUGUUCUCUUAAGAUUUAGGCACAUUUAUCAAUAGAAUUAAACUUUUGGUUUGUAAGAUAAGGUGUAGAUAAUUUCAUAAGCUUUCCAGAUUAAUAAAGAGUGUAUUAAUAUGAAUUUUGAAACUCCAGUUAUGUUUAUUUUACUGUGGCUGUUCCUGUUUGCCUGACAAAAAUGAGCGGGUCUGUUCAUUGGUGGGUUUCAUCUAGUAAAUGGCUGAUUUGGCUCUUCCAACUAUGGAGAAUUUUGUAGAGGGAUAAAAGAUCUUACUGCCAGCAGAAUUGCAUAAUUUUUGGUUGAGUAGUUUGGGAGAUAUAGAAUUUUGAAGUUAACUAUGCUGCUCUCUGAAACAGAUUCAGUCAAUUAUCUUGUCAGAUGUUUUAGAACUUAUAGAUUGCAAAAUUUAAUUAUCCAUUGAAUACCGAAGUUAUAGAUUAUUUUGUUUAGAUACUCCUAGAAUAUUUGUUUGAUAUCACCACUGUUUUAAUUUUAAAGAUACAAACUUAACAAACAGCGUUGCUGCUGUUUGGCAUGUGAUUCAGGGUGGGAGUCUUUCCACCGGGUCUUGGUUUCAAGUGUAGGAGCGAUUUGUUGAUUGUUGGCAAAUGUUUGUGAAAUAUUUGUACUAAGUUUUAUGCCCGCUAUCAGGUGGCUACACUCCGGAUCAUGCCUAGUACAUUCUUCUUCUUCGAUGAAGGCAAGUGAAUGUAGCGGUGGUUGCUACCAUUUUGACUUGUUGUUUUUUUAUCGCCUACACUCUAAUAUUCAGAAUUAUGGAAUUCUUUCAUAAUUGAACUCUAUGGUGAUGCUUUACUUUCUUGUAUUAUACUGAUGCUCAAUCAUAUUUUUAUGAUGAUUAUGAUUCGAGUAUGACCCAUGAGAUUAAUUCACACCCCUGAAGGUAAAUGAAGUAUUAUUUGAGGUUUGUAUUGUAUCUGAAGGUAAACGAAGUAUUAUUUGAGGUUUGUAUUGUGUCUGAAGGUAAACAAAGUAUUGUUUGAGGUUUGUAUUGUAUGUGAAGGAAGUGAAGUAUAUUGAUAAAUGCAGCAUGCCAUAUAUAUUGCAUGAUUCACUUGCAUCUAAAGUUUUUUCGUGACCGAUGGUCCGACCGUACCGGUACAACUUAGCAUCGUACAUUGCCCGAGGAGGGGUACGAUGCGGCUUCAUACCCUUAGAGGUAUGAAGGCAGAGGACAUAUGCAUUGCAUUCAUAUGCAUUCAUGGAAGUGAUAUUUGCAGAUGAUGUGGUUUUAUACUCUCAGAGGUAUGAUGGCAGAGGACCUACACAUUGCAUUCCUAUGCAUACAUUGAAGUGAUAUUUGCAGGUAUUGUUGACGCAGGGAAGUGUUAUACAACCUAUUGUGGUUGUUCGAGGAAAUGAGAUGGUAUUGGUUAUAUUGGGACUGUUGAGUUCUAUAUCUACACGUAUCUAUGAUCUUAAUUGUGAUUCCUUUAAAAUGUUGAUUAAUUCAAUUUGUGAUUUAAAUAUCUCGUCAAAACAAUUUGCUUGCUGAGAUGUUUCAUCUCACUCUUGCAUUACUCGAUGCAGGUGCUUGAUGAUCAUCAAGGGGAGUGGGAAGUAGCGGCACGUUGCACACACUGUUUAAAGAACCAAAUAAUUAGCUUUGGUUAUUGACUUUCGAGGUUCAUAUUUUGAAAUAUGAUGUAGGCAUAAGCUGGUUCAUUCGUGGUUAAUCGUCUUUGAUGAGAAUUAUAUCAUAUUAGUAUGAUUCAUUUUGUAUUGAUAUAUCUCUUUUGCUUCUGCGAUGCUUAUAAUUAUAAAGGAGAC
rnacentral:lncRNA from 1 species